rnacentral:lncRNA from 1 species
ACUGUGUUUGGCAUCGCAGUUCCGACGGCAGCCGCCGUUUCGCGACCCACGGCGGACUUGCAUAAACACUUUCUAGUUGGAAUCUCACCCUGUGAGGUGGGCAAGGUAGUGAUAUUCCUGUUUGACGCCGACAGAAAUAAGAGAGAUUGACUCUCAGAACCAUGUGGCGGGAUUUUAAAGGAGGAUCUUAACAGUGGCUCGGACAGACCCGUGUUUUCUGCUCCUAGCAUUAACUACGUCGUUAAACCCUUCUGAAUUUAUUUCGUCUGUGAAAUGGGGAAAAGAUAGCCACCUUGCAUAACUGGUGAAGAAUUCGUAAACUGACAGCAGAAUCUAGUAAGAGGACUGGCCCGUGGUCGGCUCUUAAUGGUGUCACAGAAUAAAGAAAAAGACUGGGAGAGAGAUGGGAGCUGAUAGACCAGAGGAGACCAAAGACUGAAACUGAAGACUAAACCAUGGAAAUUGGGAACAAGCACUUACUCGCUUAGAGGGUGAAAAAAGUGAAUUUGCCUACAGGGCCAAUUUGGAAGCACCUCUCCCUGGAAGCCAGUCAAUGAAGAGCCAUUGGAGGAUUUUAAAUAAGGAACCGAAAAAUGGAGUCUGAAAAUAGAGGCGCAGAGACCGGUCAACCACAAUGAAGAACAAGCCAUUUUGACCUCCAUCCUGGCUCAUCUCCUCUGUGUUCUCAUAGCAUCAUAUUAUAGAAUGGAUCACAAACGCCUUUGCAGUUGCCUAUUUAUUUGUCCAUUUCUCCCUCCAGACUGUGAGUUCCCAGAGGGCAUGUCUUAUCUAUGUUAGUAGCCACAUCCCCGGUAUCUGGCUCUGUGGACAACACUCCGUAACUGUUGGAGGAAUGAAUGAAUGAGUGAGUGAGUGAGUGAAUGUUUUCCCUGAAAUUCAAACCUUGAUGGUUGAACUUGUCAUUAUUUGGUUUACGGAACAAGCUAGGCUGAUUGAAUUGACUUGGCCAGGCACAAUUAGGCAAAAUGUAACACAAAGAAGAUGAGUACACCAGCCUUGCUGAUUGAGGAGAUCAGCUGUGGAUGAGCCAAGUGCCAGCUGCCAGCUGCAGUUGCAAGGCCAUGUUCUUCUUCUAGCUAGGAACAUUCUGUGGCAGAGACUCACUCAGGGGUCUGAAUAUCAGAAUCACAACCAGAAAAUGGCUCAUUAUUGCACAGACAAAUAAUUGGCGGCUCUCUCCAAGUAACAGUGUCUUAAGUUAGGUUCCCUAGAAG